CGUCAGUGUAGCAAUACAUCGGCGGUCCUAGUGGCGCACGGGUGAGUAACACGUGGGUGACCUACCCUUGAGCUCGGGAUACCCCCUCGAAAGGGGGGCUAAUACCGGAUACGUUCCUCGGUCGAAAGACUGGGGAGGAAAGGUGGCGCAAGCUGCCGCUCUUGGAGGGGCUCGCGGCCUAUCAGCUAGUUGGCGGGGUAACGGCCCACCAAGGCUAUGACGGGUAGCUGGUCUGAGAGGACGACCAGCCACACGGGGACUGAGACACGGCCCCGACUCCUACGGGAGGCAGCAGUGGGGAAUUUUCCGCAAUGGGCGAAAGCCUGACGGAGUGACGCCGCGUGUGGGACGAAGGCCUUCGGGUCGUAAACCACUGUCAGUGGGAAAGAUGGGUGUCGAUGUUAAUACCAUCGGCAUCUGACGGUACCUGCAGAGGAAGCCCCGGCCAACUCUGUGCCAGCAGCCGCGGUAAGACAGAGGGGGCAAGCGUUGCUCGGAAUUACUGGGCGUAAAGGGCGCGUAGGCGGGAUGGCAAGUCGGUCGUGAAAUCCCUCGGCUCAACCGAGGAACGUCGAUCGAUACUGCUGUUCUUGAGGAUUGCAGAGGAGACUGGAAUUCCCGGUGUAGCGGUGAAAUGUGUAGAGAUCGGGAGGAACACCGGUGGCGAAGGCGGGUCUCUGGGCAAUUCCUGACGCUGAGGCGCGAAAGCGUGGGGAGCAA
rnacentral:rRNA from 1 species